rnacentral:rRNA from 1 species
UCCGUAGGCGGUGUGGCAAGUCGGAAGUGAAAUCUCUGGGCUUAACUCAGAGGCUGCUUCCGAAACUGCCGUGCUAGAGUGCGAGAGAGGCAAGUGGAAUUGCGGGUGUAGCGGUGAAAUGCGUAGAUAUCCGCAGGAACAUCCGAGGCGAAAGCGGCCCUCUGGAUCGUUGCUGACGCUGAGACGCGAAAGCGUGGGGAGCAAACAGGAUUAGAUACCCUGGUAGUCCACGCCUUAAACGAUGGGUACUAGGUGUUCGGGGUGUUGACCCCCUGAGUGCCGCAGUUAACGCAUUAAGUACCCCGCCUGGGGACUACGGCCGCAAGGUUAAA